rnacentral:rRNA from 1 species
GACGAACCGUCCAAACGUUGUUCGGAAUCACUGGGCUUAAAGGGCGCGUAGGCGGACUGCCAAGUCCGGGGUGAAAUCUUUCGGCUAACCGGAAAAGGGCCUUGGAAACUGGCGGUCUCGAGGGAGGUAGGGGCCUGUGGAACUUCGGGUGGAGCGGUGAAAUGCGUUGAUAUCCGAAGGAACGCCGGUGGCGAAAGCGACGGGCUGGAUCUCUUCUGGACGCUGAGGCGCGAAAGCCAGGGGAGCAAACGGG